ensembl:lncRNA
CCUGGGGCCAAGGGGCACCAUGCCUUCCAAAGAGGUAGCCAGACCUGGCCAGUUCCUCAAAGUCAGACAGGUCCUUAGGCUGAGCCAGACCCUCGCUGCAGCCAGCCCUCUGUCUGCUAUUUACUUGCUGCCUGUUUUCCUCGUGACAGGCCUUCCAAGAACAUCAGAUCAAUGCAGCAGGUUCUGGUGCCCACAGCUCUCAGCCUUCCUCCCAUUGCCAAGGUUCAGCUGCUGCUUCCUGAAAGGCUGGGCAGGGGCUGAGCCACAUGAAAGCACAGCCCAGUGUGGGGGUGAGUCCUCAGCCCCCUGUCCCAGCUCAAGGCCUCGGGCAGAGGAGUCCAGGAGAGAAUGAACAGAGACACCCACCGUGGAAAGCAGGGUGUGCUCAGGAAGCCUGUCCUGCCCCACAUCCAGGGAGCACAUCAUGAACAGCUGGCAGUGCAAAACCUGGCAACCCAAUCUGAAACAUAAACUGUAACUCAUCCACAGGACGGAGUCUUACACCGUCACUCAACUGGAUACUAAUGGUCAGCACAACACUUGCUGUGUGCCAGGCCCUGUUCCUCAUCCCCCAUGCAUGUUAAGGUACUCUUCUGAUCCACCAAGUAACUGAGGAAAACGGAAGAACAAAUAGGGGAACACAGGACUCACACCACAGAAUGCUGGCCAGCAAUACCACAUAACACAGGUGAAUCUCAAGAAUACAAUGUUGAAAGAAGCCAGACAAACCAAGAAGCACCGGAUGGCUCCCAACAGGCAAAACUGAUCUGGGCUGUAAGAAGUUAGCACGCAAUCAUCCUUGGGGUGAGGUGGCUGGAAACCAUGGGAAGGGAACGAAGGGUGUUCAGAUGGGCCAGGGAGGUUCAGUUGUGACAAUUAGUCAAGCUGAACAUACACUGAUCUGUGCCCUUCUCUGUAUGCUUAUUACAUGUUGACAAAAGGUCUAAAGAAACUGGUAUUUAUCUCAGAAGUAGAUUUCUGUUUUCUUUUUAUCUGUUCUUUCUAUAAUUGCCACACCAAACAUACUUUAUUUUUCAAUGAAUGAAUAAGAUGACAACAAAUGCAGUUACUCAUUCAUCAAAAUUGUGCAGUGCAGGACACUGGAGGGCGGGAGUGUCCCUGCCCUGAAGGAGCUCAUAGUCUUGGUGGGGCUGAGGAAAGGAUGUGAGUACAACCAGCAUCUGUAAACAAGCAGGCACAAGGCCAUGGCCAGCCAGCAGCUGGGUAUUUCAUCUACCCAGCAGGGCCAGCUCUCCCCUGUUGUAUGUGUGCACAAACACACACACACACAAACACACACACACACAUUUCCUUCAGCUUUACCUAGAGUCAAAUCCAUCAUUAAUGUUACUUGCCUGUCCCUGUGCUUCUGAGAGACUCUCUGAAUUAGAUACUGUAAUAAGCACUGUCUUGUAAAAGAAAGAUGGAUGAAGAGCUAAAACAGAGGGAGCAAAACUGUAGGGGGGGGCCUGGGGGAUUGUGCUCUUGACAGGAAUACACAUAUGUGGUUAAUUUGCCACUCUAUAAAUAAAGCAAAGCUAAACCUAAGAAAACAGGAGGUGUAAUCUAAAUAUACAUGAAUAUUUAAAUUUAAAAAUUUUAUUAUAAUAAAAGACACAUUACUAUUAAUGCCCCUCAAAAUACUCCCCCUCACUUCAAACAUACUUAUUCCAUUAUUUUUGCCACUUUCUGAAGCAGUUCUGGAAAUCCUCUUUUGUGUCUUUGCAAGGUAUCAUCAAAAAUAAGUGAAUGAAAAAAAAAGUGAAUGUGCUUGCGAUGUGCCAUCUAAUGGAAAGGCAGGGUCAUAAAAACAUUAUAGUGUGUCCUCAUUGACCUUAUUCACUGAAUCUGGCACCAUGUGACUUCUGGUUCUUCCCCAAAGUCAAAAUGACCAUGAAAGGUAAACAUUUUGAGUUGAUUCAGAACAUCAAGGCAGCCACAAUGGUGCAACUAAAGGCACUCACAAAGGAGGGCUCCAGACCUGCUUCAGCCAGUGGCAAGAAUGAUGGAAUAAUUCUAGUGGUGAUGUGUCUUUUAUCAUCAUAAUAAAGUUUUUAAAUUUAAUGUUCAUCAGGUAUUUUGAUCACACUUCAUGUGUACAGGAUCUAUAUGAGGAAAACUACAAAAAUGAUGAACAAAAGAACUACAUAGAUGGAGAAAUAGCCCAUGUUCAUGGAUAGAAAGAAUCAAUAUUGUCAAGAUGUUGGUUCUUUCCAACUAGAUGCAGUUCUAAGUAAAAUCCCAGCAAGCUAUUUGUUGGAUAUGGACAAGCUGAUUCUAAAGUUUAUAUGAAAAGACAAAAGACAUAGAAUACUCAAUAUAAAAGGGAAAGAGAAGAACAGAGUCUAGGGCGGACACCACCAAACUUUAAGACUUAUUACUAUAGUAAUGAAGUCAGUAUGAUAUUGGAGAAAGAACAGACAAAUAGAUCAAUGGAACAAAACAGAGAGCCCAGAAAAACAGAUCUUCAUAAACAUAAUUAACUGAUCUUUGACAAAAGAGCAAAGACAACACAAAAGAGCAAAAAUAUUUUACUUUUUAGUAAACAGUGCUAGAACUGGACAUCCAUAUGGAAAAACACUGAUCUAGACACAGUCUUUUUGCUUUUUACAAAAAUUAACUAAAAAUGGAUAUAGACCUAAGUGUAAAAUGCAAAACUUUUAUCAAAUUCCUAGAAGAUAACAUAGGAGAAAGCCUACAAUAACCUUGGACAUGGUGAUGACAUUUUAAACACAGUACCAAAGACAUCAUCUAUGAAAGAACUGACUUCAUUAAAAUGAAAACAAAAAACUAAAGACAACAUCAAGAGAAGACCGGAAGAAAAUAUUUGCAAAAGACACAUCUGAUAAAAGACUUUUAUCCAAAAUAUACAAAGAAUUCUCAAUACUUAACAAUAAGAAAAUUUUCUGAUUUAAAAAUGGUUCACUGACCUUAAAAAGUAGAUGUACAGCAUAGACAAACAAGCAUAUGAGAAGAUACUCCACAUCAUGUCAUCAGGAAGACAUAAAUUAAAACAAUGGGAUACCAUGACACACCUGUAAAUUAGAAUGGCCCAAAUCCAGAACACUGACAACACCAAGUGCUGGUGAAGACAUGGAACAACAGGAACUUCAGUCAUUGUUGGUAGGAGUGCAGAAUGCUAUAGCCCUUUGGAAGACAGUGUAGCAGGCUCUAUCAAAACUAAACAUACUUGGGCCAGGGAUUUAGCUCAGUGGUUCCACCGCCUGCUUUGCAAGUCCAAGGUCCCAAGUUCGAUCCCAGGUACCAAAAAAAACCCUAAACAUACUCUUACCAUAUGAUCCAGCAAUUAUGCUCCCUAGCAUUUGUCCAAAGGAGUUGAACACUUAUGUUCACACAAAUACCUGCACAUAGAUAUGCAUAGCAAAACUUGGAAUUAACUAAGAUGUCCUUCAGAAGGUGAAUAGAAAAAGAAACUGUGGUACAUCCAGAUAAUGGAAUUUCAUUCAAAGAAAUGAACUAUCAAUGGGAGGGGGGCACACACAUGACAAAGUGAAAAGCCAGUCUGAAAGGCUUCCAUGGUAUGAUCCCAAGUAUAUCGCAUUCUGGAAAGGACAAAGUUUUGGGACAGUAAAACAAUGAAUGACUGCCAGGCACUGAGGGGUGGAGGGUGUGGAUAACUGGAGCACAGAGGAUUUUAAGACAGUGAAGCUACCCUGUGUGAUACUGAAAUGGUGGACAUGUAUCAUUUUACACUUGCCCAACUCAUAGACUACUUGAUGCUAAGGGCCAACCCUAACACAAACCACAGACUCUAGGUGAUUAUGAUGCAUCCUGUAAGUUCAUCAGUCCAUACAGAUGCAUCAAUUUGAUAAUGCUGUGAACCUAAAACUGCUCCAAAGAAGAAAUACAGUCUUUUAAAAAAGAAAAGAACUUCCAGACAUGUCAACAGGAGCCCUACUACUUAUGUGGGGCUCCAUGCAUACAUGCAGCACCUACUUGAGCAGGUGCCUUCCCAUCACUCUCUGGGUAGCUGAGAUUCUGUUUCUGGGUUCCUCCAAGACAGGAGAGGAGGGGUGAGGAACCAGAGACCUACAAACUCCUUGCAAGACCAACAGGCACAGUGUGGAAGUAUGUGCCUAGGCUUAGCUGGGCCUCAGUCUGGGAAGGAAGGUAAAGAGUCCCCAGGCAGGCAUCCUCCAUGAAGAGACCAGCCCUCUCCUCCCUUCCACACAGGUGCCAAGGAAACGGGGUGAUAGAGACAUCAAAAUCCCACCUUCGGGGUCCUGCAGGGACUGAAGUCUAUGCAGGGGUUGUCUACUACCUUCGGAUGGUGACUUUCUUUUGGUACAGGCCGAAUUGUGUCUACCAGUUUCUAUACUGAGGUCUUGAGCCCCAGUGCUUCAGAAUGUGACCAUUUUUAGAGAUAAGACCUUUAAAGAGAUAUUUAAGGUAAAAAUGAGAACAUUACAGUGGGCCUUGAUCCAGUCUGACUGGUGUCCUCACAAGAAGAGGAGAGAAAUACACAGACGUAUACAGAAGGAACAGAAGACACAGAAAAAUGACGGUUAUCUACAAGCUGAAGAGGGAUGCCUUAAAACCAUGUUGGUUCCUUGAUCUGACUUCCAACCUCUGAAUUAUGAGAAAACACACACACACACACAGACACAGACACACACACACACACACACACACACACACACACACAUCAAUGUUUUCUUCAUGGUUGGCCUUGGGCAGGGGGUUGAGACCUACAGAGAAGUGAUGCCCUAGGCUGGGUGAUGCCUAAGGGCCAACCCACCAGAUGACUAGGAGCCCACCAGAUAGACCAAGUAUGGAAAGCUGCUGUGAACAGGGAGAAUCACUCGGAACAGGGGGAAUAAUGCUGCCCUCUGGAAGCUGUGCUAUUUCAACAUAGUAGAUCUGGUAAUGAGCCACAAGGGAGAGUCAGCCAAGGUGAAACUGGACAGGUGAGCAGCAGCUACAAUGUACUAGGUGUCAGGCGCCUAUUUAUCUUCACUAAGCCCAACAACUCCAUUCUGCAGAUAGGAAAAUUAAGGCUCAGAGGUGAUGGCAUUGGUUUAGUGCAUAUGGCAGAGCUGGGAUUUGAACCCAGACAGAGUCUGACUCCAGAGCCACACUCUUCACCCUGAGAUUUCCCCUCCUCUCCCAUAGGAGAGCCAUAGGGCAGGCACUAGAGCACCCUGUCUCCUCUCACAGGUCUGCCUGCAGCUGCUGGCCUGGUCCUCAGCAGGCUCAGCAGUCAGAAAAGGAGGGAGCAGAGUUGAACUGGGAGAGCAGAGCAGGUGAGCUACAAAGCCAGUGCUGCAGGGCCCUGCUGGGAACAGCGGCAAACACCAGCUGCUCCAGCCAGCCUCGCCUUUCAUCUCUGCAGAAAAUGGAUGCUGCUCUGGGUCCCCUGAGAGCUCAAAGUUUGGGCUGAAGGCUUUCUGGAAAAAAAGCUCACUGUUGCAGGCAUCUCCACAGUCACCCUGGGUGAUGCCUGACACUUCACCGCAGCACUGGCUGACAAGCAUCUUCAAAGGACAGAAAUCGGCCGGCUUGCUGGCUUUUAUACAGUUGUCAUUCAUCCACAGGAAGCACUUUUCCCCGCGCAUUGUGAGAGUUAUUUUGGUUUGAGGAAGCCAACCUCAGUACAAAUCCAAGAAAGAAAUAAAAGAGGGGGGGGGAGCAACUCCGCCAAAAUUAGAAAAAGUGGUGUGUGGGUAAACUGCACACAAAACAAUCUUUUUCAAGAUGAUCUUUUUUGAGAUCAAAGAUAAUGGUGGGAGAAUUGUGCUGAGAACAUCAGCAGGUGCAGCAGGCUGCAGGGGGCAUGGAGAACUUUGCAGGUGUCUGCAGGCCACUUUUAAUAAGCGGGCAGAAUCCAUGGCCAAUGUGCCAGACUUGCUGGGCUACGGUACGACAGAGAAAGAAGAUGGAUGACUUCUGCUAGGGAGUCUCAAGUGGCUUCUGUGGGAACUUAUUUCUCAGGUGGAUUCUGAUAUGAACACAGCCAAGUCACUGACCAAAGGUUCCUACAGAGAGAGGAAGUUUCAAAUCCUUAGGGAAGUGGGCUUCCGCCAUGGCUCCAUCCUGGCAUACAGUGUGACCUCCCUCUGGCCCUUCAUUCUUUUUUUUUUUUUCCAGUACCAGGGAUCGAACUUAGGACCUUUUGCUUGUGAGGCAGUCACGGUGCCACUGAGCUAAAUCCCUGGCCUGUCCCCUUCAUUCUUAACAUCAUGUUCUUCAAGUAACAGGGCACAUGGAGCCGGGUGAUGGUUCACCUUUGUAAAAACUUGAUUGUGCAGAAUGGAGUGGCCAAGAAUUCCCAGACCCUUCCUUGGGGAGACAUAUUUAGGGAGGUGUUUCUGAUCUAGGUGAUAGAAACAAUCUGAAUGAGCUGAGACAAACAAACAAAAGGACCAAGGUGGGCUCCUAUAACCAAACUAUAAAGAAACAGGACAAAGUGGCCUCAGGGAUAAUUUAACCAGGCUCUGUCUCUCUCGGCCUCUCCAUGAAAGCUGGUUUUGCUGUAUCCCCAAGAAGCUAUCCAUAAACCUGACUAGAGAGAAAACAGAGAACUCUCUCUGUUCCAACUGAAAAAUCCCAGAGAAUUCUGAUUGAGUCAUGUGACAGCCCCUUAAACCAGUCACUGUGGUCAGAGGGAUGGGGUACUAGGAUUGACAGCUCCCUCCUCUCCCUGGGUCAAGUCACAUACCAGGAAGUAUGAAAGUCACUGCAGGAGUGGGGGUUGCAGAGCAGGCACCCCUAAGAUGCAUCUGCUACAUAAUGGCCCUUGCCCUUUGCCUGGUUUUGCUGUUUCAUGAGCAGCCAAGGCCCAUCCACUUCCCCAGCCUGACUUCUCCAAGUCCAUUAUCAUGGGAGGCCAACUCACAAUGGUCAUUCCAGUCACAAGCAGGAACACUCAUUGAAGACUCAGUGGCCUAGGUGCUCUACCAACUGCGCCCCCUGAAUGAUCUCACUAGACGCUUACAGGAAGCCCUCUGUCACCCCCAUCUUAGAGAUGAGGAAGCUAAUGCUCAGAGAGGUACAGGGGCUUGUGAAGAUGACAGCCUAAAAGAAGCAGAACUGGGAGUGGAACCUGAUUCCAGUGGAUUUCAAAGCCAGUGUUCUUAACCUGAACCUUGACACCAUUCUGACCCCCAGAGAAAAAACCUGGAGGGAGACAAGUCCCCCUAGAGUGGUACAGGAGGUUUACAUGCUGGGAUAGGGAGAGGUCCCCAGGUACACUGACCAUGGGCAGUGAAUUCUAGUAAAGACUCUUGCCCCUUGUAGAGAGUGAACACUCUCAUGCCUCACCCAGUGGGGUGCUGAACUGGACUCAAACUCCUGGCAAUAAGUAAGAUGGAGAGCCCCCAGGGCAGGGUAGUUUGUGGUCCCUAUGAGUGACUCUGACCUCAGGGUUAGUGACAAGUGUCUGGUCACCAGAGAAGCAGGGGGGCUGCCAGAUACUCUAAAGAAGAAGCAAAAACUCAACUUUUCUUUCAGUUCUGAGGACUUCUGUAUUGGGCAACACAGGAGGCAAUAUAACCUGAAAUGCCACUCCCAAACACCCUGAGAAGCUGCAUGGAGUGGACCAGCACCCUAGAUAUGUAGGUCAGCUCCAUGAGAAAGUAAGAGAAAUUCCCAAGGCCAAAACUAAAGAGGAAGUGCAAAAUUAGAGCACUAAGUAGGAGAACUGACACUUCCAUGCCCUCUGCACCAGAGGGAUGGCACAGGUGCCCAUCUCGGUAUUCAGGCAUCUUCUGCCACCUGCAUAACAGUGUGAGCCAGAGCACUUCUGUCCACUAAUACUAGAAAAAGACAUAGCUUGAUCAGUAUCAGCCUUAUUUCUAGACUAGAAAAUCAAAAAGAAGUCUCCCCUGCGAAUCUGUCCCCAUGGAGUUCAAAGUGAUACAGUACCGUCUCUGGCAUUCUGUGACUUGAGUGUGCAGCACAAUCACCUGCAUGGCUUGCUUGCUAAGCGAGGGACUCCUGGAUCCUGGCCCCACCCCUCAACCCCAAUUCCAAACUCAGUAGAUGUGGGUGGGAGCCUCAGAAUUUGCAUGUCAACAAAUUUCCAGGGAAUGCUGAGGCUGCUGGCCCAAGGACGACACUUUGAGAGCUACUGCUCCCAGCUAAGAAAUUAAUUUAAAAAUUUAUUCUCUCUUGGAACACUGCUGGACAUUAAGCAAAAGCAAAUACAAAAUCCCUCGAGCACAGGGGUGAAUAAUCUAUGACCUUUGAGCUAAAUCUCAUCUACCCAGGGGCCAGAUCCAGCCAUACUCAUUGGUUUAUGGCUGCUUUUGCACAAUGAAAGAGUCAAGCAGUUGCACAAGAGAGACUGUAUGUGGACUUCAAAUUCAAAAAUAUUUAUUAUUUGCUGACUUCUAGUUACUAGGAUCAAUGCAGGUCACACAGAAUUCCAGAGAUACAAUCCUACCUAAGGUGACCUCUCAAUCCAAAAGUACAAAACACACGAGGCACUACCAUGUGCAAGAAUCAACAGACACAAGAGCAGGAUCAGACUUAAGAACUUCAGACAAUGGAAUUAUAACACAUAACACUCUAAAAGCAAUGAUGGGGCAGAGUCUACACUUAGCAGUUCUUAGGUCUUCACCAAGAGUAAUGAUGAUGCCAUUUACUGAGUGCCUACUAUGUGCCAGACAGUGGGCCCAUUCUUUAUGUAGCUCAAUGCUUUUCUUUUCCACAUGAAGGUAUAAGCCUGAGGUCAGAGAGGGGUCUCCACUUGCCUAAGCCGACACAGCAAAUCCAAGGCAGAGCCAGGAUGAAACUCACACCCUGGGCUGAAACCAAGUUCUUGCAGUUUCCAAAUGCUAUGCCUCACUUCCACCCUAGAGCAAGGUGACCUGAAAUGGAAAUAAGGAGCUCUGAACUUAGGACACAUGGCUAGAUCUGGGGGAGUCUACAACCCCUUAAAACAAUAUGCAUAAUGCUGGAUGUCUCUAUCAGGUGUCUGAAGAGGAUUGGCAACUUUCAUCUGGUUCUCAAAGUCAAAGAACCAAAGCUAUCCAGACCCCAAUGCAAGCCUUCUGUUUAUUCUGUAACAGAAUUACAUUCAUAAACACAUCCUAAGGGUUUGCUUGUUUAAAUCCCACGUGGGUCCUACAAGAAGUUCUUUCAUCAGCCCACUUUACAGAUGAGAAAACUGAUGCCACACAGGCAUCAAAGAAUUUGCCUCGGGUCGCACAAUUAGCAAGUGCCAGACAGGGACCCCCAAGUCAAACUCUCUCACCUGCAGCCUUUCCACCUUCCAUGCAUCCUCUUGCUACCACCAGCAACCAGCCUUCGCGUUCAGGAUCUAGUCACACGUCUACACAGGCUAGAAGGCUCAGGGUCUUUCCUGCCCGCCUCCUAUGCCUACAAACAGGAGGCUCCUUCUACCCUGACUUUGGAAUGAUUCCCCUUUCCUAAUUCCAAUCUCCACAUCCAGAGGCUGUGCCCAAGGCCAGCCAAUGCAAACAGCCAUUUCUCAGAAAGUGCAUGUUCCGGGCGGGCCAGGGAUUUAGCUCAGUGGUUCUACUGCCUGCCUCGCAAAUGCAAGGACCCGAGUUCGAUCCCUGGCACCCCCCUAAAAAAAGAAAGUACAUGUUCCUCUGUUCCCCACCACCUUGCCUGCCACUGGCCCAGACACCAAGUACUUGCUUGGCUGGUGCCAUGCUCAGCAAUAGCUAAACAAUUUACCCAGUUUUUCAGAAUGAGCAAUAUUUACUCAAUAGCCCAGAAUGGCUCAUAUGGAACUAUUAAACCCCAUUGCCUCCGUCUGCAGCUCACAGUGCAAUAAUGAAUCAGUAUUUGGGAGCGAUUACGAUGCUAAUAAGAAUGUGUGAGGCACAAAAUAUCACGAAGCAAGGGUUGCCCCGGAAUCCCCUGAACUCCCAGCUCCCAUUCGGGAACCUCACCGCGCCAGACACCAUCCUGCCUGAGAGCUCUUGGCUCCCAGGGUGGCCACACUUGAUAUGAGAACAGAUGAGAGGCAAGAGCACAGAAUCUUGCAGAGUCCGGACCCCACCAUGCCAGCCUUUACCAGGCUUUGGAGGGGUGGGAGGCAAUGGUGGUCCCAUCCCAGCAGCCCCAAAAUCCCAGAACCCCCUUUUCUGGCAGGGCCUGGAGUGCUCACAAGGCAUUUCGUACACUCGCACAGAAGAAAAUACUUGUUCCCUCGGGCUGCGCGCCUGAAGCUAUGUUGGUUUUGAGUUGGAGUUUUUUGGGGGGGGUUGGAUCUUUUUCACAAGCCCCUAAAUAAAUAAUGAAUGGCAGAAAGGAAGCAUAUAUUUGAUAUUGUACCCACCCCACCCCCCGCAAUCUGCCCAAGGAAAGCACUUUUCUCCAGCCCCUACGCUGCCUUGCUGCAUCCCAGAGACUGACGGAUCUCUUGGAUGCCUGGAGAGGCCAAGCAUGCCAGUCUCGGCCCAGAGGACAGUGGUGGGAGAAGUUGAGCUUCCUCCUCUUGCCACUUCUCCCACCCCAAGCUCUAAGCCUUCAAGUCUCUCCAGUCCUCCUCCUUGUCCAUUCCUCAACCUCUGCAGCCACUGUUCCCCUCUGUCCAGGAUACAGAACUCAGCAGGGUCUGAACUGGCCCAAUCCAUCUCCCAGCCCGCCCACUUCAUUGUCCCUCCCGCUGUGAUCCAGCCACACUGGCUGCCUUUCGUGUCCUGGAACUACAGCUGCACCCUCCCACUUCAGGACCUUUGCACAAACUGCUUCCUUCCGCUGCCCGAACUGUGCUCUUUCCUGACAUCCACA